CCUUUGCCUUGCCCGAUUGUUUGUUCGUUUAGCCUUCCAGCCUUUCGUAAGUCCUGUCGUGUACCAGACCCUUGCCUGUCAUUGUUGUUUUCACUGUGUCUCUGUCUAAUCCUUGCCUGUACCUUCGCUGGAGUGUUUUUGCCUACUUGUGUACCAACCUCUGCCUGUCUGACCAAGAGCUACAAUAAACCCCUCUGAAACCUCACGUCGUGUCGGCGCUGUGCGUUUGGGUCCUCCACCGUGUGUUCCUGACAGAACCCUUACUUUAAAUAUACAUGUUUUGUUCAUAUCUGUUUAUGACUUUUAUAUUGCUGAUUGACUUUGGCAAAUACAGAGCCAUUGUUUCAUUUGUAAACAUACAAAAUGUUCAUUGGAAGUUACUGGUGAGUAUUAAUGUAUAAUUGCCUUUCAUUUAGUUUAUUGCUUAAAAAAUUAUAAUGUAUUAAUAAUUAGAUUUUCUGUGUUUUCCAAUAGUACGUUGAUGCAGACCAAAGUAAGGUCUAUCUUGUGGAUCCUGCAAAAAGUGCCAAAGAACUGGUAGAGUCGGAGCAAGCAGCGAAAAGACUGCGGUAUAUAAUCUAGAGAUAAGAGUCAUAAAGGAAUUGUCUGUAGGUCAUUGAUUUAUAGUCAGUAAAAAGAUUCAGAUUUUUGCCAAAUGUUUCUACAUAACUAGUGUAGGUAAAUUAAGACCAAUUCAUUCAAUAGCUUCUUGUGCACUUCUAUGGGUUGUCUCAUUCACGGAUUCAUUUGGUUUUGUUACAUACAGACAUGAUAUUUUCUGAUGUGUAAAGUGUCAUAGACUUUUUAUAGAUUUUGACAGCAUUAAAGUAAUUGGUUAUUCCAUGCAUGAUUUCCUCCAAGUAGUGUCACUCAUAAAAAUUAAAACUUGUGUCUACAUUAUGUUAUUUAGAUGGCCAGGUUAGUGAAGGAGGCCUUCCCAAAGAUGCCAAGUAUGGACUUCAAAACGACAAGAAAAGAAAUGGCACAGGAACGCACAAACAUAACGUACAGUAACUGUGCUAUGUGCUCAACCACAAAGCCACCAGGAUCAGGACCAGCCUUUACAGACUGGAUACAGUGUGAUUGCUGUUGCCGGUGGUAUCACGCACAGUGCCUAAAACUAGAUAAAGACAGCCUUAAAAAAGCAGCAAGUGAAGACUGGAAUUGCUGUCUUUGUACAUAAUUCAUUAGCCAUGAAAAACUAACAGGAUGUAUCCUAUCUGUCUUACCGCAUUUCUCAUUUUUGCAUAAAGUUGUAUUUGUGUUCCACACAAAUGUUGCACUGAACUAUGCACCAAAGUCAAGUUCUUAAUCAUCAAAGUUGACUUUUUACAGUAUGACAUAGUACUUUCAAUUACUGCUAAAACGUAAAUUAUACAGAAAAAGUACACAGGUCUUUGUGUGGUGAUAGUACACCUCUUGUAGAAUAAGGAGAAAGUGGUCUGGGCCUGGAACUAUGCACCAAAGUCAAGUUAUUAAUCAUCAAAAUUGACUAUAAUGCCAAUACGCUACUACAAUAGGACAUGGUAGUUUUGAAUACUAAUAAAUCCUAAACUAUACAGUAACA
ensembl:lncRNA